rnacentral:rRNA from 1 species
CAUUUAGAGGAAGUAAAAGUCGUAACAAGGUUUCCGUAGGUGAACCUGCGGAAGGAUCAUUAUUGAAAUAAAUCUGAUGAGUUGCUGCUGGCUCUCUAGGGAGCAUGUGCACACUUGUCAUCUUUAUAUUUCCACCUGUGCACCUUUUGUAGACCUGGAUCUCUCUCUGAAUGCCUAGCCAGUCAGGUUUUGAGGAUUGACUUCACAGUCUCUCCUUACAUUUCCAGGUCUAUGUUCUACAUAGACCCCAAUGUAUGUUAUAGAAUGUAAUCAAUGGCCUUUGUGCCUAUAAACCUAUACAACUUUCAGCAACGGAUCUCUUGGCUCUCGCAUCGAUGAAGAACGCAGCGAAAUGCGAUAAGUAAUGUGAAUUGCAGAAUUCAGUGAAUCAUCGAAUCUUUGAACGCACCUUGCGCUCCUUGGUAUUCCGAGGAGCAUGCCUGUUUGAGUGUCAUUAAUAUAUCAACCUCUUCAGCUUUUGCUUGUUGAGCGUUGGAUGUGGGGGGUCUGUUUUGCUGGUCUUCUCAGGUCAGCUCCCCUUAAAUGUAUUAGCAGAACAAUUUGUUCAUUGGUGUGAUAACUAUCUAUGCCAUUGAUGCGGAGCAGUUCAGCUUCUAACAGUCCAUUUACUUGGGACAAAAUUUUGUUAAUGUGACCUCAAAUCAGGUAGGACUACCCGCUGAACUUAAGCAUAUC